UAUACCGUGAAACUGCGAAUGGCUCAUUAAAUCAGUUAUCGUUUAUUUGAUAGUACCUUACUACUUGGAUAACCGUGGUAAUUCUAGAGCUAAUACAUGCUAAAAACCCCAACUUCGGGAGGGGUGUAUUUAUUAGAUAAAAAACCAAUGCCCUUCGGGGCUCCUUGGUGAUUCAUAAUAACUUAACGGAUCGCAUGGCCUUGCGCCGGCGACGGUUCAUUCAAAUUUCUGCCCUAUCAACUUUCGAUGGUAAGGUAUUGGCUUACCAUGGUUUCAACGGGUAACGGGGAAUUAGGGUUCGAUUCCGGAGAGGGAGCCUGAGAAACGGCUACCACAUCCAAGGAAGGCAGCAGGCGCGCAAAUUACCCAAUCCCGACACGGGGAGGUAGUGACAAUAAAUACUGAUACAGGGCUCUUUUGGGUCUUGUAAUCGGAAUGAGUACAAUUUAAACCCCUUAACGAGGAACAAUUGGAGGGCAAGUCUGGUGCCAGCAGCCGCGGUAAUUCCAGCUCCAAUAGCGUAUAUUAAAGUUGUUGCAGUUAAAAAGCUCGUAGUUGAACCUUGGGCCUGGCUGGCCGGUCCGCCUCACCGCGUGUACUGGUCCGGCCGGGCCUUUCCUUCUGGAGAACCCCAUGCCCUUCACUGGGUGUGUGGGCGAACCAGGACUUUUACUGUGAACAAAUUAGAGUGUUCAAAGCAGGCCUUUGCUCGAAUACAUUAGCAUGGAAUAAUAGAAUAGGACGUGCGGUCCUAUUUUGUUGGUUUCUAGGACCGCCGUAAUGAUUAAUAGGGAUAGUCGGGGGCAUCAGUAUUCAAUUGUCAGAGGUGAAAUUCUUGGAUUUAUUGAAGACUAACUACUGCGAAAGCAUUUGCCAAGGAUGUUUUCAUUAAUCAGUGAACGAAAGUUAGGGGAUCGAAGACGAUCAGAUACCGUCGUAGUCUUAACCGUAAACUAUGCCGACUAGGGAUCGGGCGAUGUUUCUAUCUUGACUCGCUCGGCACCUUACGAGAAAUC
rnacentral:rRNA from 1 species